rnacentral:lncRNA from 1 species
AGGGAAGUCUUCAGCCAUCAUUUCACUGAAUAAGCUUUCUGUCCCUUCGUUUCUCUCUUCUCCUGGGAUCACUAUAAUGUGCAUAUUGAUCCAUUUGAUGAAUCUCAUAAUUCCUUGAAGCUAUUUUUACUCUUUAUUGUUUACUUAUUUUUUUCCUUCUCUGACUAGAUGAAUCCCCUUGCUUUGUCUUGGAAUUCACUGAUUGAUUCUUCUGAUUCUUAUAGUCUGCUGUUGAAACCCCUCUAUUGAAUUUUUCAAUUUGGUUAUUGCAUUCUUCAGCUCUGUGAUUUCUGUUUGGUACUUUACUUUACUUAUUUUUUUUUUUUUGGCCUUUUGUCUUUUUAGGGCUGCACCUGAGCAUAUGGAGGUUCUCAGGCUAGGGAUCGAAUCAGAGCGAUAGCUUCCAGCCUACACCACAGCCACAGCAACUCCAGAUGCAAGCCGCAUCUGUGAUCUCAACCACAGUUCAUGGCACCUCCAGAUCCUUAACCCAUUGAGCAAGGCCAGGGAGCAAACCCAUGUCCUCGUGGAUACUAGUUGGGUUUGUCAACCACUGAGCCACAAUGGGAACUCCAAUUUUACUUUUUAUGGGCACACACCUACAACAUAUGGAAGUUCCUGGGCCAGAGACUGAAUCCAAGCCUGAGCUGUGACCCAAACUACAGAUGCAACAAUGCCAGAUCCUUUAACCCAUAGUGCCAGGCCAGAGAUUGAAGCUACACCUCCACAGCAACCCAAGCCACAGCAGUCAGAUUCUUAACCCACCACACCGUGGCGAGAAGACCCUCUGUUUGGUACUUUAAAAAUAUUUCCUAUCUGUUUAUGCAUUGUUUUCCUGACCUCAGUGAACGUGUUUAUGACCAUUAUUUUGAACUCUUUAUUGGACAAAUCACUUAUUUCCAUUCUAUGAAGAUCAGUUUCUUGAGAUUUACCUUGUUCUUUUUUGGGGGAAGAAUCUUGUUCUUUUGGUUGUAUCUUGUUCUUUCAUUUGGAACUCAUCCCUCUGUUUCUUCAUAUUCCUUGACUUUCUGUGUUGGUUUCUGAGCCUUAGGUAAAAAGCCACCUCUCUGAGUCUUGACAGACUAAUUUCCAGUAGGAGAUGAACCUGGUCAAUCAGCCUGGCCCAGGCAACUGCUUACCUCUCAAAACUUAGACAUUGUCCUUGCUAUUGUCCUUCUUCUUAGUGGCUCCUGGUGGUUGAAGGUGUGACCUGUCAGUAUCUCAAAAGGGAGAAUCAGAGUCAGCACCAAGAUGUAGGCCAAACUACUGGAUCUUCAGCCAGCAGCUGGGAAAGCAUAUAGUUAAACCCCUUCCAUGAUAAACUGGGAGUGGAGUGUUUUUGUCUGCUCCCUCUGUGCUGAGGUCCAGAGUAUAGGUAUAGGGAGGACUCUUGCAGAGGAAGGAGGAAUAAAAGAUGAGACUAAGGCUUUGGUGUAAGGUAAGGGGUAAGUAAUGAUAUUAUUCAUUAAAAAGGGAACAUUUGAGGAGGGAUUGCUUUGAGAACAAAAUGUCUGACUCUGAUUUUGGUCUUACUUAUUUUAAGACAUCAGUUUUGUAUAUGUAAAGCAGCAUCACCAAUCAGUAGAAGAGAGUUGAUUGUCAAAUAAUUAUUUGGGGGACAACCAAACCAUAUGGCCUGAAAUAAAGUCUGUCUUAGACCUUAUGCCAGGAUAAAAUUCAAAUGAACCAGAAUUUUAGUGGAAAAGGGUGAAAUCAUAAAUUUAUGUGAAGAAAUGACUGGGCCAUUAGAUCAUAAUUUUAAGUUGGAUAAAGUCUUUCUAAAUGUGACAGAUUUUAUUUUUAACUUCCCGACACUGCCAAAAUCUCUGCCUUAGCAGAUGCAUUCAACUUGGCUUCUCAGUCUCCAUUCCACACAUUUGCCACAUAGGAAUCCUUCACAGACACAGGGAAAAUUGCACUCAAAAUUUUAGGUUCAUUUUUUCUGAAUUCUUUUCCCCUUCAGUGAUAUUGGCCCCUUAACUCCUGGAUCACUCAUUGUUAUCUCUCAGCCCAGCGAUGGCUGAACGCUCUAGGCUACAACUCUCUUUUCAGGAUUUAUGCUCCACAUCAGGAAUCAGCAAAUUCUAUAUGGGGGAGGGAAGGAAUCCUGAAAAUUCUAUGUUGGGGGGAGCAAAUUCUGCAAAGGGGUAGGACUUACCUGAAUACAUUUUCUUUCAUUCCAAAUUUUACCCUUUGACUUCUGUUUUGGGUGCUCUUUAAUGAUUUCAUACAACUAUUAUUAUUUCUCCAACAUUUUAUAAUUGUUUUCAGCAGGAAGGUUGGUACAGUACAAGUUACUCUGUCGUAGAUGUCUGACCCUUCCCCAAAGAAUUAAUCAAACAAACAACAAAUAGGUAAAGAUUUAGAAGAUUUAAAUAGCAUAAUUUGAACAUUUGAACACUUAGAAAAUUAAAACAUUAAAGCCAAAAAUUGGAGAAUACAUAUUCUUUUCAAGCCAUCUUGGAAAACUACAAAAAUUUACCAUAUUAGGGUAUAAAAUGAAUCCUAAUAAAUUUCUUUUUUUAUGGUUUCAAGUAUUUUAUUUUAUUUAUUUCCCCAAUACAUUAUUUUUUUUCUACUGUACAGCAUGGCGACCCAGUUACACAUGCAUAUAUACAUUCUUUUUUCUCACAUUAUCAUGCUAGUAAAUCUCAGUGAAUUAUUUUUAUGAAGGCUACAACUGUGGAGUCUAACAUUUUGUCCUGUCUGAGCAGGAAGAACAAACACUGACCCCAGCCAGCCUCAGAGCUCAGUUCAUGGCACUUCUGAGCCAUGUAACUCAGUCUACAGCCAUGCUCAAUAACUGGAUAGUCGCAACCAAAAGAAUCAGCCUGGACCUCUAUUUUACACCACUCACAAAAAUUAACUCAAAAUGCAUUAAAAGCUUAAAUGUAAGACCUGAAACAAUACAGCUCCUAGAAGAAACAUAGAAAUAAAUCGUCUUGGCAUUGGUCUUGGCAGUUACUUUUUGGAUAUGACAUCAAAUGCACAAGCAACAAAAGCAAAAAUAAAUAAAUAGUGCUCUAUCAAACUAAAAAGUUUCUAUACAGCAGGAGUUCCCUUCGUGGCUCAGUGGCUAACAACCCAACUAGCAUCCAUGGGGAUGCAAGUUCAAUCCCUGGCCUUGCUCAGUGUGUUAAGCUAUGAGCUAUAGUGUAGGUUGCAGACACAGUUCAGAUCUGUCAUUGCUGUGGGUGUGGCAUAGGCUGGAAGCUACAGCUCAGAUUCUACCCCUAGCCUGGGAAUCUCCACAUGCGGCAAGGUGUGGCCCUCAAAAGCAAAAAAAACAAAACAAAGCAAAAAAAAACAAAGCAAAAAAAAAAAAACAUUUCUACACAGGAAAGGAAAAUAUCAACAUAUCAAUAGAAAGAAAGCAAAAAUUAGAAAGAAAGAAAGAAAGUUGUCUGAUAAAGGGUUGAUAUACAUAUUAAAAGAUGUCCAGACUCGAUAACAGUCAAGGAAAUGUAAGUUAAAACCACAAUCGAAUAGUAUUUCCUACCCUAAAGAGUAGCAAGAAUUAAUAAAUCAUCUAAUUUCAAGCUUCAGCAACUAUUGGCAAGGAGGAAAAGAAAAUAUAUGGAGUACCCUGGUGGUUCAGCAGGUUAAGGAUCCUAAGUUGUCACUGCUGUGGCUCAGGUCACUGCUGUGGCACCUACGUUCUGUCCCUGACCUGUGAAAUUCCACAUUCUGUGGGCAUGGCCAAAAAAAAAAAAAAGAACACAUUUCUUGUAAGAGCAUACAUUGCUUGUAAGAGUAUAACCUGGACAACCAUUUUGGAAAACUAUCUGAUAUAAUUUAUUAAGUUUUAUCACUCGCAUAAACUAGCUCCCAGCUGCACACUUGCAGGCACAACCUUAGGCAAAUCCCUGUGCAUAUGCACCUAGAUUUGUAAACAAAUAUCCCUGUAGCAUUAUUCAUAGCAUCAAACUAAGUAAAUGCAUGGUAGAUGAUAAAAGAAACAGCUCAGAAGUCUAUUCAAAUUCAAAUAGAUAAAUAUAUUAUAGUUCUUUUCACAUCAUGUCAUAUAUAGCAAUGAAAAUCAGUAGACUAAAGCUACAUGCAUCAGCAUGAUCUCAAAAGCAUCUUUUGAGCAACAGCAAAGCAAAACAUAUACUAUUCCAUUUAGAUAAAUUUUAUUAACAUAAAACAAAACAAUGUUUUAUUUAUGGAUGCAUGUAAAUGAUAAACUUGUAAAGAAAAGCAAAAGAGUAAUUUACAAUUAUGAUUGUUUCCUUUGGGACUUAUUUCUGUUUCAAUUAUUUGUUCUUUCAGAUCAAUCUCCAACUUUAAAAAUUUCUAUAAGUUUAACUUAGUAUGAAAUGGAGGUUAUAAACUAAGAAAGUUUAUUUCUAACCCUUUCCUCCCAAAAAAAUGAAGUUGAAAGCAGGAUGGAAAACAAUCCAAAAAUAAAAUUUUAUGGAGAACAGUUGAGCCUGGAGAAAUGAGAACUUAAAGAAAACAUAAAAUUGACCCCCGAAUAGAUAUCAUAGAGGAAUGAGAGCACUGAUUUUCUAAAACCAGUUCCUUAGAGGAGAAUUAUGAUGAAAAACACAGAAUCACAAGCAGGUAGAUACUGGCUAUUUUUUAAAAGUACGUCUAUAGAUACUGAUCAUGCAUUUUUAAUAACAACAUUUUUCAGCAUUUACAGAAUUGUAAAUAUAAUUUAAAAUGUGAAGAUGUAGUCUGGUAUAUAGUCUGAUACACUCUUCAGCCUGACACACAUUUGCCAUUUUUUAUUGUUAUUUGUUCUGUUACUGUUGUUUUUUAGUGAUUUUUCAUAUACAUAUAUUCUGGAAAUAGUCCUCUAUCAGAUAUGUGAUUUGCAAAUAUUUUCUCCCAGUCUGUAGCUUGUCAUUUUAUUCUUUUCUGUUGUUUUAAACAUGUGUGAUCUGCCUUGGUGUCCAUUUAAGACAUUCUAAUACUGGUAAUUUCAGGUUUCUCAAUGUUCUUCUUGUUCAGUCUCAUUAGUCUUCGUUAAAACAACCUAUUAGCAUUCUUUAUUCUUUCUAUUCUACUUUGUUUCCCAUUAUUUUAUGUUGCAAAAUUCACUCUAAUUACUUGCAUCUACUUUCACUAGGUUUACUAUACUUUUCUAUUUCUUUCCUUUGGAGAUGUCUGCUUAGACCAUUGCUUUUGUUUGCUUUUUGUUUGUUUUAGACACUAUAAUAUAAGCAUUUUGAGUUGUCAAUGAUUCUGUAAGUCCAGACAUGGCUAUAUCCCACAAAUUUUGUAUGUAAUAAUUUUGUAAUUAAUUAUUUAAAAUACUUGCUAAUUUACAUUUGACUCUUUUUUUGACACAUGGAUAUUUUAGAAGUAUAUUAUUUAAUUUCCUAAAAACUGGGAAUUUCCUAGUUACCAUUACUGAUUGUUAAUUCCUUUUAACUUUACGUUUUUAAUAUUUUGAAAACUUUUGAGGUUUGAUUUAUGUCCCAGCAUAUACUAAAUUUUACUAAAUAUUCCAUGGAUACUUUAAAAAGAUAUAUAUGCAGCAAUUUGGGAGCACAGCUCUUAUAUAUGAUGAUUAAUUCAUGUUUGUUAAAUAAGUAUUCAUGGAAAAUAAGCAUACAAAAGAUGUGGAAAGUCCAAAUUAAAACAAGGGAAUUUUCUAAAAUGUAGUUAAGAAAAGUAGAGUCAUAACAGAAUGUAGUGAGGAGUUCUCUUUGUGAUUUAUCGGGUUAAGAACCUGACAUGGUGUCCAAGAGGAUGUGGGUUUGAUCCCUGGCCUCACUCAGUGAGUUAAGGAUCUGGUGUUGCCAUAGGUCACAGAUGCAGCUUGGAUCCCACAAUGUUGUGGUUGUGGCAUAGGCCAGCAGCUGCAGCUCCAAUUCAACCCCUAGCCCAGUAACUUCCAUAUGCCAAAAGUGUGGCUACAAAAAGAAAAGAAAAGAAAAAGUACAGAACGCAGUGACUUGCUAACAACUAGCUCAUGCCCCCCCCCGCCUUGGGGUUAUUAUGAUAAUGAAAAGAAAGAGCUUGGAAAAAUGUCUAGCAUAUAUUACAAAUAACUUAAUAUUAAUAUUAUUAAUAUUAAUAGCUUAGAACGUGCUAAGCAAAAGGAGUUGAUCUCACUUUGUAGGGAGUGUAGUCAGAACAUCUCCAUUAAUAAGUGACCCUCCAGCUGAGUCUUUUAAAAAUUGCUUGGUUGGAGCUCUUGUUGUGGCUCAGCAGAUAGAGAACCCAACAUAGUGUCCUUGAGGAUUCAGGUUCAAUCCCUGGCCUAGCUCAGUGGGUUAAGGAUCCAACAUUCACCACAAGCUGCUUUGUAGUUUUCAGAUGCAGCUUGGAUCCUGUGUUGCUGUGGCUGUGGUUUAGGCCAGAAGCUGCAGCUCUGAUUUAACUGCUAGCCUGGAAACUUUCAUAUGCCACAGGUGUGACCAUAAAAAGAAGAAAAAAAAAAAAA